GAGUCUCGCUCUGUUGCCCAGGCUGGAGUGCAGUGGCGCGAUCUGGGCUCACCGCGACCUCCGCCUCCUGGGUACAAGCGAUUCUCCUGCCUGAGGCUCCUGAGGCUGGGAUUACAGGCACCAGCCGCCACACCCGGCUAAUUUUUGUGUUUUCAGUAGAGAUAGGGUUUCACCAUGUUGAUCAGGCUGGUCUUUAACUCCUGAGCUCAAAUGAUCCACCCGCCUUGGCCUCCCAAACUGCUGGGAUUACAGACAUGAGGCACCGCACCUGGCCUCUAGUUUUUCAAGAUGCCACCUUUAGGGGAACUGGGUAAAGGGUACAUAGGGUAUGCAUUAUUUGUUACUGCAUGUGAAUUUAUAAUUACCUCAAAUCAAAAGUUAAAUUUUUUAAAAAACGACAUCUGAUUUCAAUAAAAAUCCAUAUUUGUGUAUUGAAGAAAUCAGAAAUCCGGGUCCCCCAAGGGCCCAUGUUUCUUAAGGCGGAGCCAGGCACCGCUGCCCCGCCUGUGCUGUGCGCCCCCGACCUGCCAGCCCCAUCAAUCAGGGCUGCCGUCCUGAGUCCGUCCUCGUCGUGGGAUAGAGCCCCGUAAGGUCCUUCCUGUCGGCCUCACUGCUCCAGCCUCCCCAACGUCCUCACAUCCACGCUGCGUGCCCUUUCUCAGCCUGAACGCCUCCUCUUCACCGCGACAUGAUCAGAGCCACCUCCUGCGUCAGUCCCAGCGCCCACGCCCCCAACAACGGGCACUUGUCUGACCAGUCACGGGUACUUGUGUCUCCCCCACAACUCCCAAGGCCUAGGCUGGACAAAUACGGAGUGGAUAAAGGGGAAGAAGCUGCGGCCAGGUGGCGCGAGGCCUGUGCGGGCAGCUCCGCAGGCUCGGAGGCGAGCCCAGCCUGGUGAGCUCCGAAACUACCCGGGCUGGGGGCUGAUGAACGAAUAAAUGAAUGUGGGAAGAAAUGAUGGCGCGGCAGGGCAUGAAGGCGGAGCCAACAAGGCUGGAAGAGUGAUGAGUGAAUGAGUGAAAGAAUAAACGCGCAGGAGGCACGAUGCUACAGAACUGAUCGCCAUAAGGCUCGCAUUCACCGAGCGGACAGCAAACGGGUGCCGUUUCCGUCCCGACCACGGUCGCCUCUGGCCCGUGCAGGGCCACUUCCGGGCCUCUCUGGACGGCGCGGAGGCCUAUCUCUCGGUGGUCCCAGAGGGCCCAGCUCAGGGCCGAGCCCCGCCCUGCCCCGCGCGGCGGGAGUGGUUGGAGCCGGAGGGCGGAUCUGUGCCUGGUCGAGGGUGUCCGUCGGCGUCACUCACCGUCCUCGGCCCGCCUCUGCGUCCACUAGGCGCGGCCUGAGAGAGGCCCGCACGCGGGCUCGAGAUGCGUGGAAUGCACCUAGAGCUGCAUUCCAUGUACUCCUUGGAUUUUGGUCCUUUCCUCCAUCAUCAAGUAACUGGUAACAUCUUACUAUUUCUCUCAUUAAGUUAAAAUAUUUAACAUAUGUUCAUUUUAUCUUAUUUGCAUGAGAGUCAAUUUUAGCUUUAAAAAAAAUUUUAUUGGCCGGGCGGGGUGGCUCAGGCCUGUAAUCCUAGCAAUUUGGGAGGUGGAGGUGGGCGGAUCACCUGAGGUCAGGAGUUCGAGACCAGCCUGACCAACGUGGUGAAACCUCGUCUCUACUAAAAAUACAAAAAUUAGCUGUGUAUGGUGGUACAUACCUGUAAUCCCAGCUACUUGGGAGCCUGAGGCAGGAGAAUCGCAUGAACCUGGGAGGCAGAGGUUGCAGUGAGCCGAGAUCAUGCCACUGCACUCCAGCCUGGGCAACAGAGCGAGACUCCAUCUCAAGAAAAAAAAACAAAAAACAAAAAACAGGGCUGGGCGCAGUGGCUCACGCCGGUAAUCUCAACACUUGGGAGGCUGAGGUGGGGGGAUCACGAGGUCAAGAGAUCGAGACCAUCUUAGCCAACGUGGUGAAACCCUGUCUCUACUAAAAAUACAAAAAUUAGCUAGGCGUGGUGGCGUGCGCCUGUAGUCUUGGAUCACCCAUGCUGGAAGAAUUCAGCUGCCCAGCCAUGAGGAAACUCAGGUCUGCAGUCCUGUGGAGAGGCAGUGGAGCAGUGCAUCCUCCAACCCCAGUGGGGCCUUCAGAUGAUUGCAGUCUUGGCUGCAAUGUUGACUUCAACCUCGUGAGAGGCCUUGAGCCAGAACCACAGGCCAAGCUGGUCACGAAUUCCCCACCCCCAGAAAAUGUGUGCGAUGAUAAGUGUUUAUUUAUUUAUUUAUUUUUGAGAAAGUCUUGCUCUCUCACCUAGGCUGGAGUGCAGUGGCGCGAUCUCAGCUCAUUGCAACCUCUGCCUCCCAGGUUCAAGGGAGUCUUGUGCCUCAGCCUCCCAAGUAGCUGGGAUUACAGGCGUAUGCCACCAUGCCUGGCUAAUUUUUGUAUUUUUAGUAGAAACGGGGUUUUGCCACGUUGCCCAGGCUGGUCUCGAACUCGUGAGCUCAAGCCAUCCGCCCAACUCAGCCUCCCAAAGCACUGGGAUUACAGGCCUGAGCCACCACGCUUGGCCUGGAGCAUGCCCUUGAUGUGCAAACUAACCAAUUCAGAGCCUCACCCCUCUAUCUGGUCCACACACCGCAGGAGACAGUAUUCCUCUGUCUUAAUCAUCCCAGGAACAGGAGCCAAGCAGCUGGGGAACACUCCCACAGCUGAAAGCCCACAGGAAUUACUCUAGCUAGCCAGUCCUGUGCUGUGGGCUCUGCUCUGCCUUGCUUUUCCCUUGGAAACCCCAGUAAAGGCUCUGGCUUAGAGCUCCCCCUUGCUCCUGCCGCUGCUGCCUCUGACAGAUGCUGGUGCUUUCUCAUGUGUCCUUCCUGGUGGGCCGCGCCUCCUGUUUCCAGGAUCUGUGAGCAUGAUGAACUUUGUUUUCCUGAGCUUGUCCUGUGUGUCCUCUUCUGGCCACACCUGACUGAGCAGCACAUAAAAGCCACAGAACACCAGGAGGGCUGCUGCUUGGGGAAAUUCUGUGAGAAGAGUCCUGGAGGACUAGGGGCAGGGCAAGCACUGCUCUCCCUCUCCUGGAGGCUGGGGAGAGCAUCAAGGAGACUACCAGGUAGGAGGAACCAUGGGCAGGGCCUCCCUUAUGAGGAUGCUUUCCCCAGAACAGAGGGAUUUAAGCCCCUGGUGGGUGAGUCCUGGAUUAACCAAGACCUGAGCCUUCUGGGGGCUGCGGAGGACAGAGGACACUGUGAGGUGAGUUUCUCCUGGGUGGAUUCCCCAGGGGCCUCUGAGGCUGGUUUCAGGCCCUGCCCUUUGGCUGCCCCACUGGAAGCUCUGAGCAUCCACCCUUCAGAGACACUUUCCCUGGUCUGACCUUGGCAAGGGCAAAUAAGGAGGUAUUCCAUGGAGGGUCACCAAUGUCUGGGGUGUAAACGGUGCCCAUCUGCACAGUAGCAUGAGGGCCACAGAGUGUGGUAAAUGUCAGUGACCAGCCCAUGCGGUCCCCAGUGUGGCUGCAGGGGCCACCUAGGAUUCUUCUGUUUCAGGGUCCCAGGCCACACUUGGGGAACCCUAUUGGAAGCAACAAGGUCUAGGCCCUGAGGGCCCAGGGCUCUGCCCUCUCCAGGGCUCUAGCUGAGCCACGUGCAAGCAUCCUCCAGGCCCUCCCAGCUGGUGUGAGGAGGAAACCGCAGCCAAAGGGCAAGGUGCUCCACACAGAUCUGUCCCUAGUCAGCCUGCCCCAUUCAGCCUCUGGAGUGGGAGCCUUGGGUCUGUCUGGAACCAGUGUGGAUGAAAUGCAGGGAGAAACGAAUCAUAGCCAUGGACAGCCACUCACAUAGCUGGGAAGAGGCAUGCUGUGGUAGAUUCCGGUGGACUCUCACCUCUGCGGUGCUGGGGACGUCGUGCCAACACCUCAGGCACCCACUUCCACUCACACCGCGGAGGCUUGGGGAGAUGCGGUUCAGUCUGGAGUCCAGCGGGGGACGACAAUACGGCGACCCGCUCGUCAGUCAGACCAGGGCAGGCUUGCCAGGGCAUCACACUUCACCAAAGGGAACCCUUUCUGCUGCGACUACCAAGCCGCCAGGUCCCGGACAGGCAGAAGCCUGCCCUGAGGUCUCACCUCUGGAGGGUUACGAGCUGUGCCAGGCCGGCUACGGUAGAGGGUGUGCAAAUACCCCGAGGUCCCAAGGCUCCUGAAGCCGCCCAAGGGGCAUGAGAGGCCCUAGGUUCGAAUCCUGUCUCCACCGUCUUAUGGUCGUGCCUCUGGAGAGUCACUUUUCCCCGUUUCCUCGCAUACCAGAGAGCCCAGUAACACGCACCGCGGCUCUCCAGAGAAAAAGACCCUAGAGAUCGUGGACACAGCGUGUGGGCCGUAUCAGCGCCCACUCAAGAUUAUUACUGCUUAUGCUUGCAACCGGAUGCUGUGCGCCCGGUUAGAAAAGGUCAAAUAAAACUCGAGUCAGUGGAAGCCUGUGGA